rnacentral:rRNA from 1 species
UACGUAGGCAGCAAGCGUUGUUCGGAGUUACUGGGCGUAAAGAGUGUGUAGGCGGUUGGGUAAGUUCGGUGUGAAAUCUCCCGGCUUAACUGGGAGGGUGCGCCGAAGACUGCCUGGCUUGAGUGCGGGAGAGGAAAGCGGAAUUCCUGGUGUAGCGGUGAAAUGCGUAGAUAUCAGGAGGAACGCCUGCGGUGUAGACGGCUUUCUGGACCGUGACUGACGCUGAGACACGAAAGUGUGGGUAGCAAACAGG